AGAGUUCGAUCCUGGCUCAGGAUGAACGCUGGCGGCGCGCCUAACACAUGCAAGUCGAACGAUUAAAGCACCUUCGGGUGUGUAUAAAGUGGCGAACGGCUGAGUAACACGUGGGCAACCUGCCCCUCUCAUUGGGAUAGCCACGGGAAACCGUGGAUAAUACCGAAUACUUCGGGACUUCCGCAUGGAAGACUCGAGAAAGCUCCGGCGGAGAGGGAUGGGCCCGCGGCCUGUUAGCUUGUUGGUGGGGUAACGGCCUACCAAGGCAAUGAUGGGUAGCUGGGUUGAGAGACCGACCAGCCAGAUUGGGACUGAGACACGGCCCAGACUCCUACGGGAGGCAGCAGUGGGGAAUCUUGCACAAUGGGCGAAAGCCUGAUGCAGCGACGCCGCGUGCGGGAUGAAGGCCUUCGGGUUGUAAACCGCUUUCAGCAGGGACGAGGCGAAAGUGACGGUACCUGCAGAAGAAGCCCCGGCUAACUACGUGCCAGCAGCCGCGGUAAUACGUAGGGGGCAAGCGUUAUCCGGAAUUAUUGGGCGUAAAGAGUGCGUAGGUGGUUACCUAAGCGCAAGGUUUAAUUUAGAGGCUCAACCUCUACUUGCCUUGCGAACUGGGCUACUUGAGUGCAGGAGGGGAAAGCGGAAUUCCUAGUGUAGCGGUGAAAUGCGUAGAUAUUAGGAGGAACACCAGCGGCGAAGGCGGCUUUCUGGACUGUAACUGACACUGAGGCACGAAAGCGUGGGUAGCAAACAGGAUUAGAUACCCUGGUAGUCCACGCCGUAAACG
rnacentral:rRNA from 1 species